CAGUUCGAAGGAGUGUCUACUUACCUGAGAAGCAGAUACUAAAGAACUCUUACAGGAAGUUGCACGUCCUCCUGCCCAGAGCUGUCACUUCCGAAUGUCUUUAAUAUGUGUUCCUGGCACAUUAGCCUACAUCAGCGGCCAUCCCUGUAGAAGCUGGCCCUUGCUCUUCUGUCUCACCGGUCCCCAGUCCUGCCCCAUGAAUGUAACUUCAGGCCACGCUGACCAAUGUCCUUUAGAAAUCGUGAUGUUGAAAAGCCCUCAGACUUCACUCAGAAAUCCCAUCUACAACUUGCUUUAAAUUAAAGAAGAGCACAGGACAAGAGAAACCAAGAGGAAAAAAGAGGCCUCUCGCUGUCUGACUCACAUCUAUCUUCUUGCUCAGAGCUGGUCUUUCCGAUGACUUGAGCCACCAGAACCGAACUCCUUUCCUAAUUUGUUUGUCCCAGAAACCUGCCCUCCCAUGUGUUAAAGAUGGAAAUAAAGAAUUCCGGUCUCUGUUCUCCCU
rnacentral:lncRNA from 1 species